UUGCCUUUUCAUAGGUGUUUCCCUUUGUUUACAAUGCCACUCAGUCUUUCUUCAAUGAGGUUGUGUCUGUUCUUCAUUCAAGACUCAAGUCUUAGGUCAUUUCUUCUGGGAAGACUUCCUUGACUCUUCUCCUUAUACAUGGAAGUCCCUCAAGUGGGAAGAACAGCUUCUGAGUCCCAAGAACAAUGGGAAAACGUUUUCAGACUGUUGUCAUCUCAUCAUUGGAUCUGGAAAAUGACACUUGUGUCUCAAUAGGCCAGAAGCCUUCUGUUUGCUCUGCACACCUGAUAACAGCACACUCCCUGCAUUGCACGCUAUGGAGAAAUAAUGACCGCGAUGGCACCAAAGGGCCUCAGCAAUUUGCAACGCUGACUGACGGAGCAGCCCUGGACAGCUGGGCUUCCUUGAAUGAGACUCCCUCCCUGGAAGUACACAGGUCUGCGUGACACCACUUGCUGGUGGCUGCAAGGGACGGGGAACUUGUGAGGACAGGGUAGCCUUUAGUUGUUUAUGUAGUGCCAAGGGGUCCCACCACCUCUUUUGGACUCAGAGUUUCCUAUCAAAACACACUCCCUGGAAUAGCUGAUGCAAAUUCCAUAGUAAGAGCUUAAUUUAAUACAAACUUCAUUACAGUCACAUCUUCCAUCUAGAUUUUAU